GGAGAUAUGGCUUAGUGGCAUAGUGCCUGCCUGGCAAGCAGGAGGUCCUGAGUUUGAUUCCUGGUACCA
rnacentral:tRNA from 1 species